GAUGAAGAACGUAGCGAAAUGCGAUAAGUAAUGUGAAUUGCAGAAUUCAGUGAAUCAUCGAAUCUUUGAACGCACAUUGCGCCCGCCAGUAUUCUGGCGGGCAUGCCUGUUCGAGCGUCAUCUCAACCCUCAGGCCCCCAGUGCCUGGUGUUGGGGAUCGGCCCAGCCUUCCUGUAAGGCCGCCGGCCCCGAAAUCUAGUGGCGGUCUCGCUGUAGUCCUCCUCUGCGUAGUAGCACAACCUCGCAGUUGGAACGCGGCGGUGGCCAUGCCGUUAAACACCCCACUUCUGAAAGUUGACCUCGGAUCAGGUAGGAAUACCCGCUGAACUUAAGCAUAUCAAUAAGCGGAGGA
rnacentral:misc_RNA from 1 species